GAUGAACGCUGGCGGCGUGCCUAAUACAUGCAAGUCGAACGAGUGAGAGCGAUCUCGCGAGUGGCGAACGGGUGAGUAACGCGUUGGUGACCUGCCCCGAAGUGUGGGAUACCAGGCCGAAAGGCUUGCUAAUACCGCAUGCGCAACCGAGGAUUAGACGGUCGGUUGGAAAGGAGAUGCUUCGUAAGGAGCGCUUCGCUUUGGGAGGGGCCUGCGUCCCAUCAGCUAGUUGGUAAGGUAACGGCUUACCAAGGCGAUGACGGGUAGGGGACCUGAGAGGGUGACCCCCCACAAUGGAACUGAAACACGGUCCAUACACCUACGGGUGGCAG
rnacentral:rRNA from 1 species